rnacentral:rRNA from 1 species
GACGGAGGGUGCAAGCGUUGUUCGGAAUCACUGGGCGUAAAGCGCGUGUAGGCGGUUGAAUAAGUCGGAUGUGAAAGCCCGGAGCUUAACUCCGGAAGUGCAUUCGAAACUGUUCGGCUCGAGUACGGGAGAGGGAAGUGGAAUUCCUGGUGUAGAGGUGAAAUUCGUAGAUAUCAGGAGGAACACCGGUGGCGAAGGCGGCUUCCUGGACCGAUACUGACGCUGAGACGCGAAAGCGUGGGGAGCAAACAGG